AUGAAGUCUACCAGGAACCUGUCGAGAGGGGACGGGCGGCGGCUGGGGAAUGCGUCGCUCAUCGCCUUCAUGCUCGCGUCCCUCGUCCUGCUCUCCGUCAUCAGGACGAGGCUCUCCCCCAUGGAGAAGACAGGGGACGCCAUCAAAGCAGAGGAGAGGCAGGGGAUGAACAAGGGAAGCGUCAAGAUGGAGGUCGCUCAUGAAGCUGUGGUCACAACUCCGGAUUCAGCUGCGGAGGAGGAGGAGGAGGAGGAAGAAACUCCGCCCAUACCUGCCGACACGUCGACCGGGGGUGGCGUGAGCGUGCCCGCGCCCGUGAGCACAAACACCACGCCCGUCCCCGUCGCUGUCAUAGACCGCCAGGGCAAGCCGGUGUGCUACGAGUCGGGCCGGCGGUCGGACACGUGCGAGGCCGCCGGCGACGUGCGCGUGCAGGGCCGCAGCCAGACCAUCCAGGUCCGGCCGCUGGACCGGGAAUGGAAGGUGAAGCCGUACUGCCGGAAGCAGGACGCCUACGCGCUGUCGCACGUCAAGGAGUGGACCCUCCGGCCGCUCUCCGGCGGCGGCCCGCAUUGCACGGUCAACAGCUCCGCGACGGCCUUCGUGCUCUCCACCGGCGGGUUCACCGGCAACCUGUUCCACGACUACACGGACGUGCUCGUCCCGGCGUUCAUCACGGCGCACCGGUUCCGCGGCGAGGUCCAGUUCCUGGUGAGCACCUUCAAGUCGUGGUGGACCAACAGGUACCUGGAGAUCUUCCAGCGGCUGAGCAAGUACGAGGUGAUCGACAUCGACAACGACGACGAGGUCCGGUGCUACGGGAGCGUGGUGGUCGGGCCGACGUUCCACAAGGAGCUGGGCGUGGACGCGUCCAAGACGCCGACGGGGGCGUCGAUGGUGGACUUCCGCGCGAUGCUGCGGGGCGCGUUCGGGCUGUCGCGCGCGGCGGCCGAGCCGAGCGGCGACCGGUGGGACAUCCGGCGCCGGCCGCGGCUCCUCAUCAUCUCCCGCAAGAACUCGCGCGCCUUCCUGAACGAGCGCGCCAUGGCGGACAUGGCCAUGAGCCUCGGGUACGACGUGCGCGUGGGCGAGCCGGACACCAACACGGAGGUGUCCAGGUUCGCCCGGCUGGUGAACUCGGCGGACGUGAUGGUGGGCGUGCACGGCGCGGGGCUGACCAACAUGCUCUUCCUCCCCACCGGCGCCGUGCUGAUCCAGGUGAUCCCCUACGGCGGGCUGGAGUGGCUCGCCCGCGGCACCUUCGAGGAGCCGUCCAAGGACAUGCAGCUGCACUACAUUGGGUACAAGAUCCAGCUCGACGAGACGACGCUGAGCGAGCAGUACCCCAAAGACCACCCGGUGCUCACAGACCCGCUCUCCAUCCACAAGCAAGGGUGGGAGGCGCUCAAGACGGUGUACCUGGAGAAGCAGAACGUGAGGCCGCACCUGGGCAGGCUCAAGCUCACGUUCCUGGAGGCGCUCAAGCUGCUGCCCCAUGGACGCCAGGCCAAGGCCAACAACUGA
rnacentral:rRNA from 1 species